CACUGUGAUGCACAUAUUUUUUAAGGUUGAUGGUUCAAAAUAGAUUUGUCAAGCCAUUAGAAUUUAGAAUGUCAACUUUUUAACAACAGUCUCAAAGUCACUACAAAAAAUAGGGGUAAUAAGGUGAAGUAUAAACAUUUUCUUUUAAAUGUUGCAUUGAUGUAAAUAUAGAUCGUUUUUAAGCGAAAUUGUAGAACUGGGUAGACUAAUUUUCCCAACAGUUAAUUGCAACUAUAUUUCUUUCCAGUAUGUUUCUUUAAGUCAGGAUGGGAAAAAACAUAACACGUUAGCCAUGUUUCACAACAGACCUGGAAGUUUUGUUCUUUGUAUGCUAUACGUGAAUCUGUGUUGUGUUUUACAAAUAACUAUGAAGACAUAUCCCUUUUCACAAGUGACUUGCAGUCCAGGGUCCUGACCCGGCAGAAAUACUUGUGUGUGAUUCAUAGCGUGAUCCAAGACAUAAGGCCAGAAGGGACACUAGAUCGCCUCGUGGGAUUUGUUCUGCAGUACAGGCAGUUUCGGAUUACCCAAGAACAGUCUUGUACUGAGAAACAUUUGUUUGGCUAAGCAGAUUGUCCAGGGAAGCAUCCAGACAUGAUUCGAGGAUCUUGAGGGGCGGAGAGUCUGGUGCUUCCCUUGGUAGCUAGUUCUAGUGAUUAAUCACCUACUCCAUUUACAGUUUGCACCCUAUUUUCAACUUGCAUCUGGCUUCAGCUUUCAGGCCCAGGGCUGAUCCUUUGGUGCUGUGACUUCAGGCCUGCUGUAAUUCGGAGCAUUAUGGAACAUCUCCGUGGUUUUGGUGAAAUAUGCAAAAUCUGUUGGUGUGUUCUGCUGAUCCCUGUGCAUGCCUUGGGAUAGAGCAAUAGUUGCUGUUCUUCAAAGCAGAAGCUAAAAGUGUUCCCUGCAGUAGAAUAUUAAUCUGUCAGGGACAGAGCCACCUCUGAUUUGUGCUGAAGGCAGGCAUGACUGAAACUGUAUCAUUCUCCACGAGAUCCUGGCCUUGGUGCUAGAGGAGCCGAAAGAGGCAUGUGGUGAAGUGGAACUUCUGACUGCCCUAAACCUGGAUGCCAUCCUAGGACCAGACCUUUUAGUAGUCAGCCCCUUGAUAUUUUCAUUUUUUCUGCAGCUAACCUGUCAAGGAUAUAGAACAUCAGUGAGCUGCUUUUAGCUGCAUUUUGCAUCCCACUGCAGUAUGCAUGUACUAGGAAUUAAGGAUUAGUGAUUGUUAUGUAAUUGUGACUAUGAAGGAUCUGUGGGAAAUAGAAUUCCUCUACAAGAAAAAUGAUCUAGUCUUAAAUCUUGAUAUUCAUAAUUGAUCCAGAAUUGUAACGCAGCUACCUGACAUACACUGGUCUAGUGUGGGAGCACAGUAUGGUCAAAGUCACUGAUCAGCCUGUGACUUCUAUUUAAGAGACACACUAUACCCAGAAAGGAACAAGGAGUGAAUAGUUCCUUCUAUCAAUGUCUAACUUGCAUAUUAUUGACCAGGUCACCCGAGUUCAUGUUUACUGACGUGUUUACACUAACAUAGCAUACUUAACAUUCAAGAAUGUGAUGCACAGUUCUUAAGCAAUCUAGCAAGCUGAAGUUUUCAGAUAGGCAGAUUUUGUUCUGAGGGAUGGAUCAUGUGAAAAUUAGGCCUGCACUUUAUAAAGUGGGACAUCAAAUCCAAGUUAUGUAGAACAAUUAUUAUUAAAAUACAGCAUUCACAUGAUAUUCUCACAUCUAAAACUCUGGUAUCAGGCUGAGUCUUUUUGUGCUAUGAAUUGCACUGAAUACAAUCCAAAUGUCAGUUUGUAUUUCAAAGAAGGUACACUGAGGCACUUACUAGUAAUUUGCUCUUAAAUCCAUUAUGAUGGUGGCCUACGUGUAAAGGGUGGUGUUAUUAAUCAAUCAUUUGUAACAAAAUCAUGGAUGUAGGCUGUGCCACAUUAAAACUUAUACAGCAGAGAUGUUUAAGAUAAUUCACUGGAGAAAAUAUGGAAAGCCUUAAAGAAAGUACUUAAAAAAAUAAAGAGCUGCAUGUGAAAUAAAAUGAGACAGCUUGUCAAUGCAUUUAACAUACUGCUUACAGCUGGCAUUUCAGAUGAGAUGAAAUACUGGAAAGUAUGGUACACAUCAAGGCAGCUUGCAUGUGAAAUAAAUGCUUUAAUAAAUAUUUAGUUUUGCCCUUU